rnacentral:rRNA from 1 species
UACGAAGGGGGCUAGCGUUGCUCGGAAUUACUGGGCGUAAAGGGCGCGUAGGCUGUGCUGUAAGUCAGGCGUGAAAGCCCCGGGCUCAACCUGGGAAUUGCGCUUGAUACUGCGGCGCUGGAAGGUGGGAGAGGAUGGCGGAAUUCCCAGUGUAGAGGUGAAAUUCGUAGAUAUUGGGAAGAACACCGGUGGCGAAGGCGGCGACCUGGUCCGAUACUGACGCUGAGGCGCGAAAGCGUGGGGAGCAAACAGG